GUGAGGAAUUUUCCGCAAUGGGCGAAAGCCUGACGGAGCAAUGCCGCGUGAAGGAUGAAGGCCUAUGGGUUGUAAACUUCUUUUCUCAGAAAAGAAUUAUGACGGUAUCUGAGGAAUAAGCAUCGGCUAACUCUGUGCCAGCAGCCGCGGUAAGACAGAGGAUGCAAGCGUUAUCCGGAAUGAUUGGGCGUAACGCGUCUGUAGGUUGUUUAAAAAGUAUUCUGUCAAAGAUUAGGGCUUAACCCUAGAUAGGCAGAAUAAACUUUUAAGCUAGAGUUUGGUAGAGGCAGAGGGAAUUCCCGGUGGAGCGGUGAAAUGCGUAGAUAUCGGGAGGAACACCAAAGGCGAAGGCACUCUGCUGGGCCAAUACUAACACUGAGAGACGAAAGCGAGGGGAGCAAAUGGGAUUAGAUACCCGAGUAGUCA
rnacentral:rRNA from 1 species